GGCAAUGGAAAAUUUUUGUUUUCUAUAGCCUUAGGAAUGUUAGCCUUAAAAUCAUUUAAAAAAUUCACCUGGUGUCAGGUAUCAUUAAAAACUCCAUAUUUGUGCCAGAUUAACUGAAAACUUUGGCCCCAGAUAAAUUGGUGGAUUUUGGCCAAGUUUUGGACAAACUUGGGUAUUUCUUUAUUUCAGCUAGAAAGUACAUAAAGCUCUGUGGAUUCUUGCUUUCUGACCUAAACCAAGUAAAAUUCAACAAUUUGGCUAUGAUUUCCUUUGAGGUUUCAUAUAUUUUUUCAGCUAUAAAACGUGAACCCAGGUCAAGAGACAUAUACUGAAGCCUCAGUUUUAGCAAGAAAAUGUUUAUGAACUAAAAGUGGAAAUUCUACAGAAACUUGGCUGAGGAGAAAACCUUAAAACUGGAACAAUUAACUUAGACUGUUUGGGAGAAGUGAAUCUUUCAUGUAAUUUGCUCUCUUUUUUUCUGUUCUCAUAGUUUUAACAAGUUUUACACUAACAGGCUUCUAUGUUGCAUUACAAUUUUUUGAUAGGAUCUAUAGCGAAACUUCUCUCAUUUUUUUUUCCCUUAAUGUUUGGACUCCUUAAUUUGAAUCACUCUUUUAUUUCUUUUUAAUGCUAUUCUAUCAUAGGGAACUUAGCAAAUUUCUCUCAAGGGCUGAAUCAAAGGGAACAGCGAGUGAAUCCAGGCAACACUGCCCUCCAAAUUAUGCUCCCUUGUGAACCCUGUGUUGACCACUUUCUCUGGACAAGGACACAGCUCUGUACCAUGCCACAACUCAGGAUGAGUUUCUUGUGUUUUGUGGAAAUGCUCCCCAAGAGAUGCCACACCUGGUACCUGUGGAGAUGAAGGUGGAUGCUCAGCAACAGCUGGGAAAGAUGCUUCAUUAUGCAAGAAUCUUUUGCACCCAUACUGAGAAGAAGAACUGGACAAGUUAAUUAAUUUGUGUUUUCUCUUACCUAACUCUUCUGCUGCUCAGAUCUUUCCUGAAUAACAAAGUCAGCAGCAGCGGGCCUCAUGCCAUUUUAUACCAUUCUUAUGCAGUCACCUUUUGUUUUGGGGACAAAUGACAAGAGGUUUGAAGAGUUGAUCAUUUUGGGACCUGAAGGAGGUUUGACUUGAGAGCCUGCUUUUAAAACCACAGAUUGGAUUCCGUUUGCUGGACCCCAGGUGAUGGUGUAUCCAUGUAUUCUGUUAUAAAUUUGGGUAUGUAUGCUUAUAAUGUGUGGCACUCUCUAAAGCAUGAGGCCCAAAGGAGGAUACUCUUCUUACACAGGCCUGAAGGUAAUACUUUCUGAAAGAAAAUUUACUUGAACUAGGAUUCAUCUAUAAUUCUGAAAUCCCUAAAUACUGCUUUUUUUUUGUAAUGCCUAGAAAAGGUGAGAAAUACUAUAACACUUUGCCCAGAUGUCAUAUCUCCUCAUAGAAAAAAAGUAGUAUUUUAUGAGUAUGAAAGAUAUCUUAUUUGUUUUUUCAACCACCAUCUGUGCACAACAAAUCCAAGGUUAUAGAGCGUUAAA